GUCGUCGGUUCGUUCCAGUUGAUUGUGUGGGUCGCCGACGUGCGGCAAAUGGCGGGCUGGUGUCACGUGUCCGUAGCACUUAGUCAGACAAUCAGACCCACGGCGCUUUGAAAUCGCUGCAAGAGUCAGAAGAUUGUGGGUACAAGCCCUAUGUCUCUAGGCUGACAUUACACCAUACUGAGAACAUUCUGCACUGUUAGAGGUGCUUGCUUUCAGAAUAUACUGGAAUCAUCUCCUCUUCAAUGGCAGCUGAUGAUUCCAGUUGCAGCUGAUGGCAAGAUCAGUUGGGUGGUGGCAGACAAAGAGCAGUCCAAAAACAGCAUAACCAAUGAAGUAAGAUCAUGCAUCUCACCCAAUGCAGAAGUGAAAAAAGAAUUUAAUUGUUAUGGUGCAACACUUAGCCAAAAUCUGACCACCAAUAUUGUUUGGAUAAUGUCAGCGGGACAAUUUCCUCGCAUUAAACAAAUUCCAAAGUAAGCUUCUACGAGAGUCUAUUUGUUAAGUUCUGUGUCGAUGGGUCAGGGUGUAACUUGGGAUCUCAAGUCAGGAAUCUGCACAGAGACAUCUAAUAAAUGGGGGUCUUUAACACCUCUGGUCACAUUCUCAAGAUGACUUAAGGUUUUAUAAAAAAAGUGACAUUUUAGGGAUUGUCUCAAUCUUAGGAUAGAGACAGACUCUGACCUCACAUCUUUAAUGCAUUGUCUGAGCUGAGAUAUCACCUUUUUUUAAUAAA